ensembl:snRNA U6 U6 spliceosomal RNA
AAGAAUCUUAAUGUAGCCCCUGCGCAAGGAUGACACGCAAAUUCGUGAAGCGUUCCAUAUUUUU